ensembl:lncRNA
AGCAAGAGCUGACUAAGACCAUUGAGGAGUACAGCAAGGCCUUGAACGGCAGCCUCAGUGACCUGACCCGCUUCCCUGAGCUUGAUGACCCCCUGCCCAACAAUAGGCCUCCGGAGCGCCUUAAUGGGGGCCAUGACGGCAUGGAGAGCAGCUCCAGCUCCUUCCGGUCUAGAGUAGCCAUGUUCAACACUACUGCCAAAGACAUUCCAGCAGAUCCCUUCAAGUCUGAGGAUCCAUUUAAAUCAGACCUCUUUCAAGAUCCCUUCGGAGGAGAUCCUUUCAAAGAGAGUGACCCUUUCAAAGCUGCCGAUCCGUUUGCGUCCGCAGACCCCUUCGGGAAGGGUUCCUCAAAGCCCAACUUGUCUCGAGGCGGCAGCCCUUUUGCCCAGUCCAGCACCAAGCCCAAAGACUCAGGUAGCCCAUCCAUCCAUCUGUCCGUCCGUCCGUCAGCCAGUCAGUCAGCGCCCUGUUAUUAAGCAUCGCCUCUCUCUCUCCGCGUGUGUAUAUAUAUAUACACACACUAACCACAGUUGUCUCUGUGCAUUGUCAUCACUAUUGCGAUACACACACCCGCCUCACUGAAAAUGGCAGCCCUCCUCUGCCUGUGUGCAGUUUGACACAAGGCCUUUUAUUUAGAUCUGUCUGCCGUAGACCCAGUGUGUGUUUGUUUGUCUUGGGCCGGGGCCUUGUGUUGUCUGCCCUGGGAGUAGAAGAAAACAAGGGAGGGAGACAGAAAGUGGCUCAGCUCCCGCAGAUGCCUUUUUCCAAAUCUGUUCUAAGAAGUCCCAAGAAGUUCUAAAGUAAAAGACCAUAAACCUACACUGUAAACUUGUGUAAAAACUAAUUUGCAGUGCGAGUCUGAUGGACAUUUUGCGGCUCAGCCCUUCGUCUUCGUCGCAUUUGGCUAGAGCAGGUUUCUCCUUUUGUCAUAAGUGAAGGUGCAUGUAUUAUACCCUACAUUGAUCCUUUUAGCAGACGCUUUUAUCCAAAGCAACUUACAGUACAUGUGAAGUAUGCAUAUCAUCAGUUUGUUGUCUCAGUGGGAACCAUGACUUAAGUGUCUUCAGCAUCUUGUUGACACCCUUGCUGUUGUUGAGUGACAGGAACACAAGACCAGAAUGUUAGAGAUACAGGCCACCAGUCGUGCUCCUACCAGCUCCGGGCUUGCAAGCGUUAGUGGGAAGGGGAAGUGCCACCCCCCUCCAAUGCCCCAUAAUUUAAAGUGAAGCUAACAUGAGUCGUUCCACUGAGAAAUCUACCUGUGAACACGAUCAUAAAACAAUUUAUACAA